UACAGAGGGUGCGAGCGUUGUCCGGAAUCACUGGGCGUAAAGGGCGCGUAGGCGGCCAGGUAAGUAGGGGGUGAAAUGCUGCGGCUCAACCGCAGCGCUGCCUCCUAGACUGUCUGGCUGGAGCACAGUAGAGGCAGGUGGAAUUCCCGGUGUAGCGGUGGAAUGCGUAGAGAUCGGGAAGAACACCAGUGGCGAAGGCGGCCUGCUGGGCUGUUGCUGACGCUGAGGCGCGACAGCGUGGGGAGCAAACAGG
rnacentral:rRNA from 1 species